GCUAAUGUAGCUCAGCCGAUAGAGCAGCUGAUUCGUAAUCAGCAGGUCGGGGGUUUGAGUCCCCCCAUUAGCU
rnacentral:tRNA from 1 species